CCUGGCAGGGAGGAGGCACGGGUUCAUUGCAGGGGAAAGAACUCGAGCUUGGUGCAGGAGGAAAAAUGAGAACUUUUCUCCUUCCGUUCAAGAGCUGCCCGUGCACCAUGAAACAAAGUAUCUGACUGGGACUUUUUGUUAUUUUACAUCAGGUAAAGCCGCUUUAAGGCAACACCGUUUCCUGCGUCCUUUGUGUUCCCUGUCCUGUGGUCUGGAGACAAAGCUGGGGAACAAGACUCAGCUGACCUCUGACAUUCUGGAGCGACCCUUGAGUAGGGGAGAUGAACGGAUGGCACGCGAGGGACCAAACAGAGAGAGGGUCACACGUGUCCUCAAUGGAUUGGAAGACGCCUACUGCAUUGGUGAAGGUGAUCUUCUUUACUCAUCUACUGGUUCAGAUGCGAAUCUCUUCCAGAAACACUCUCACAGACACAUCCAGGCGUAUGUUUUACCAGCAGUCUGGGCAUCUCUUAGCCCAGUCAAGUUGACACAUGAGAAUAACGGGCACACCCAAGAUGGAAUGAAAUGAAGUGGCCCAAACGCCAUGACCAGAAGGGAUGCAGGAAGUCAAAGAUGAUGGAAAAUCUGCAGAUAGCCAUCUCUUCCUGAACGACUGAAUUUGGUUCAACUGAUUAACACCCUUAGGAUGGGAUUCAUUUUUGUAGAAUGGAUUCGUGACAAGGAUUUUCUAUAAAGAUAGAUUUUUUUUCCAGAGAAACAAAUUUGAACACUUUAGUCCAAGAAUUUAAAUGAGGAAAAAUAAUCCUACUUAAAAGGCAAAUUGACCAAUAUCCUUCCUUUUUUCUCUUAUUAAUAAAAGAGUUUACACGGAAACUCUGUAAGAAAUUGUGUAAGAGAUUCACAAGGAUCAUUAAAGUCUCUAUGAGACAUUCACUUUCACUUUGUAAAAUUGGCUAUACCCUCAAAAUGGUAUCCCAUAAAAAUGGACUUUCUGGGGCUCUUAUAUAUAUGAAUGGGUUUUAGUCACACAGUGGUGCCAUUCAUUUUAUUUGGCCCAUUUAUUGCAAGUACAUUCUAAAUUUGGCCUUAAUUAUUUUUCCUUUCACAAAAAUAUUUUGUGGGCUCUUUUUGAACCCCUACUACUUCCUUCUUGCCCCUUAAGACAGAAUCCAGGAGUGUUACUUUUGUUCUCUUCUAAUUAAAAUAAUUGCUUGGUUCCUUUUAACUAGAUUCGUUCAGUUAUUAGCCUAAUACAUGGAUGGGUGCCAUGGGGUGCUUGAGAAACAAAAUGAAAAGUGAUCGUGUAGCUUCACAUGAAAAAGAUUGUGCAGUGCCAAGGAGCAUUACUCCUUUCAGCGGGCAUUUUAUAACGGCCUUUAGUAAACCUGGCCUCCCCCUGCCCCCAUACCCUCACUAAAAGACUAUUAAGUGAAAGAAUGGUUCUAUUUUCUCCAUUAGGUAGACAGUGAACUCACUACAAUUUGAAGAGGGGCACUUGAUAUGCUGGGUAUGGCCCAAAGACUGGGAGGCUGGUUUUAAUCUCUGCCCCAGCUUUGUCUUUCAGAAUAACUGCAAUUGAAGGAUAAAUGCUCCGUGUCCUCUCUUUGCCAGUUGGCGUUUAUCAGAAGGCACUGGAAGAAGAGGGACAAAGGUGCCUGGAUAAAAAGUGUGCUGACUCUUGAUACAGUCCGUCCAAUACACUGAAUAUUUAUGAAUGCACUACUCCCUGCUGAGAAAGGUUUGUCUAUGAGCCUAAGUCUACGAUUCUCUGAAGAAAUAUGCCCGUGAAGUUGCCUGAUAAAAAAGCAAACCUCCCAGAGUCUUCCAUUGGAGAAUUGUCACCUGCAAAGACCUCUGAGAGGGAAGGGAGAAGGUUGGAAAUGGAGCGGUACGGAGAUGAAACAGGGGCGGCAGACAAAAACGUCGACACAGUGGCCAUCAUCUCAAAGACACUGGGGGAUAAGGUGGCAAGUACUGAACAGAAACACUAAGAACUGAAGAGAAGCACUGGAUAGGAUGGUUCCUGAAAGCCCCCUCAAGCCUCGGCUUCCCUAACUGAUAAGCUGUUCUGGAACAAUUCUGCUUGACAUGGUGCCCCGGCAGGAUGCUCUCCAGGAAGAUUCCUGUGAGCCUGACUCAGAAGAGCAGCAGUCUGUCCGUGAACCUGGCGAAGAAUUUGAUCUCGAGAAUCAAUACCCUCGAGAAUUUGAUCUUCCUUCCGCAAGAGCUUUGAUGGCCACGUUUUCCUCUUCUCUGACUUCUUACCAGCUUUUCAAAUGGUGGAUUUAGAAAAACUAGAGUUAUUCUAGCAUUGAUUAUGUGAUCUCAUAUUCUUACAGUAGUUUUCCUCCAGAUGAAUAUUGGGAAGAGUUUGGUAGCAAGCUAUAUGGUGAGGCAGGAGACUGGAAUGAAAGUCCAAAGGUGUUGUAAACUGGGGCAGGUUGCUUCAUCUCUCUGACACUUUGUUUCAUCAGCUCUAGAUUAGAAUGUGGAUUAAAAUGUUUCUAACUACCAAAGUCUAUAAAUCCUGAAAGCUGUGCUCCAGAGGAGAAAACACACACGGGCAAAUGUAUAUUUAUUCACUCUUUCGCCAUGCUUUUGUAGACUGGUUCCAGAGAGUUCUGAAUUCACCUAGUAAUAACAUUAUCUUAAUUUGGUAUUGAAGACAUAGUUCCAAUAACUUAACCCGUAAGACUUGUACACUGGCUGACUUCCAUCCUUUCCCUAAUAUAAAGUAGGUUAAUUAAUCCAGGCAAUUACUGUCAAGCAAAGAAGCAAGGUUGGACAUUCUCUGAGAAAUUUGGUGGUUGUACAUCUGAUAUGGCUAAUUUGCAAGACCUCGGAUGGAACAUUUUAAUUAAUUAUUUCAGUUAUUAUUAUAUUUAGAUAGUGCUGGAUGGGUAGAAAUCUAUUAAAAUGAUAAAGUUUGGGUCAAUUUACCAACGAAAAGGAUGAACAUCCUUCUGCCUUUUCUUUUUUCUCUCUAGAACCAUAGUGAUUAGAGAAAUUAUAUCACGAUAUUGGGCAAAUAAAUUAGUCAAUCCCAGCCCAAAAGUAGUUUAUGAGCAAACCAUUAGAACCCUUUCCCAGUCAAAUGGAGGCCUAUUGAGAAGCAGUAUGUAAAUAGAGCAAAGCUUAUGAAAUGAAAUUGACAGGAUAGAAAAUUUUCAUAGACACAACCCGCCAACAAGGACUUUUCUUACACAUGUCUCCAUUACCUUGAUAAGAUUGGGAGGUGGCCAGUGGCUCUAUAAAUUUAAAGCAAAAAGUGGCAAUUAGGUCCUCAGGGUACAUCCUUCUCCCUCCUUUAUUCACUUCAGGUUCAUUGUUUUGGAUUUUUCAAUUAUAUUUUUAUGUUUCUGGUCCUUGGAGGAGGCUGAAUAUGACAUUUUGACAGUGGAAUCUGAAAGAGCUACAAUUCUAGAUUCUGUAAAUACUUCUUGAUCAUUAAAAAAUGUCUUAGUUUUAA